CUUGGCCUCCACGUACGGUGGUUGGAAACUGAAAAGUUUCCUUUUUCCAACACGAAUCGAAAUGGUACGCUUCCCUUUUCCUUUUCAUUAUUCGGAAUAUAUACAUGUACAUAUAUUUAAAGCAUUCACCUUUAUGUAUUUCGAUCGACUGUUGGUUUCUUUAGUAUAAGAACGAUUUUGUUUUUAUUGAAUCUCUCUGUUCUUCCCAAAAAAACCCCUUUCAGAUUAAAAGAAAGGGGUUUUUAUAACCCUCAAUUACAUCUUAGGGAAAGAAUCUGUUGAUUUCUUUCCAUGUUUAUUUCCUUUACUGUUGUGGUUCUUCUUCUCUUUUGCAGGUACCAUUGAGGAUUUCAUGGCGAGGAAACGUUGAUCCAUGCACCGAUCAUGGCGCGUCAUGGGGCCUGGAAUCACGGCACCGAUGGUGGUGACGAUUGGCGUGCCUGUGAUACAAGCUCUGGAACCUUCCGUUUGCGGCGCCUAGGGUUCCAGAAACCCUAGGUUUUCCUUCUCCUGUUUACCAAAUUGGGCCAUUUGGGCCAUACCUGGUUGGGUGUAAACAGGCUAGUAUUUGGUUGGGCUAAAAUGUAAUUUUGGGCUUGUGUGUAACGGGUUUGAGGUUUUAAGUAUUUGGGCCACUAACAUUUGGGUUUUUGUAAACUGGACUGAAAUAAAUAAACUUUUAUUUAUUUAUUUAUUUUUAUUUGUUUAUC
rnacentral:lncRNA from 1 species